GGUCCAAACAGGGGAGACUUGAACCAGAUCAUCGGGCAUUUUCCGUGGAAAUGAACUACAUGGGAAUUCCCUUUUCCUGCACGGUUUUUGAUAUUGAAGGAUUAAUACAAUUACAGUCUUCCCUAUUGGAAAUAACAGUGCAUGUCCCAGUGGCUUGUGGAAGAUGGCUGAACAGGGAUACUGAACAGGGUUCUGUUGGAGGUUUCUUCUUGUUAAAAGUGUGAAUUUCCACUGUCUUCACAUGAUUACCCAGGAUGAAGGGCUGCUGCAUAGUCCAUGGCUCAUUGCAGUUUAUUGGGCUUCCAACUUAUUAUUAUAAAGUAAAUUUGACAGAACUGUAUUGUAACUAGAGCUGACUUGGAAUGUAUACUAUUGAUUUUAAAUCUAUAUGACUGGAUUGUAUUGACUUCUAAUUUCUACAUACAGAUUGGAACUGUUUGUCUGUUAAAGAAAAAUAAGGCCCAGCAUAGAUUGGAUUUACCGCAACAACUCAAGUACAGCCUUUCACAGGAGCUGCUGGUCAUCUUUUACACGGGCAUUAUUUAGUCUGUCCUGUGCACAUUCAUCACAAUGUGGUUUGGCUCAUUCACAAAACAGGACAGGUCCAGACUGCAACAAACAAUUAGGACGGCAGAGAUGAUCAUCAAGGCUGACUUUACCUCCAUCUUGGACUUGUACAGGUAAAGGGCAACUAUCACCUCUGCAGACCCCACACAUCCCAGAAACAAACUGUUUAGACUGUUAACUUCAGGUUGGCGGUACAGUUCACUAUUUACAAAAAACAGCAGCCACAGAGACAGUUUCUUUUCCCUAGGCUGUCUGAUGAACCCAAAGAAAGCCUUACAUGGAGUAGUCAGCUACUCUGCUGUGAAACAAAAUAAGCAUGCUUGGACUGCCACAACCUGCCUUGUUUUCUUUUUCUUUAUAUAAAAAUAAUAAUAAAGACUUACUGUACAUACUG